UGAACGUAAUCUGUGGCAGCAGCAUUAUGGUGGGGGCUGGAAAAAAAAUGCAACAAGGAAAUAUUCAGUUCAAACAGUUUUCAUCAGGAAGGAGCUGGAUCUGGAGACCACUGCUUCUGAUAGAAGGACAUCUUCAGAGUCCGGAGGGAUGAAGCUGGUGUGGAGG